UUUCAAUCUCUUAUGUAAUUCUACCCCAAAAAUGACUGCAUUUCUGUAACAGGAAAUGAUUUGUAACCCCAUAAUAUGAAAAGUAUAAAAUAUAAGCUCUGUAAUAGGCAUAAUUACACUUUUUUUCACUUUGAAAAUGAGGGCAUACUACGUUCUUUUUUUUUGGAAAAUUUCAGCAUUGAACUAAAUUCAAAACAUUGUGUG
rnacentral:lncRNA from 1 species